rnacentral:rRNA from 1 species
UACGUAUGGAGCAAGCGUUAUCCGGAUUUACUGGGUGUAAAGGGAGCGUAGGCGGCAUACCAAGCCUGAUGUGAAAACCCGGGGCCCAACCCCGGGAGUGCAUUGGGAACUGGCAAGCUAGAGUGUCGGAGAGGCAGGCGGAAUUCCUAGUGUAGCGGUGAAAUGCGUAGAUAUUAGGAGGAACACCAGUGGCGAAGGCGGCUUGCUGGACGAUGACUGACGUUGAGGCCCGAAAGCGUGGGGAGCAAACAGG